rnacentral:sRNA from 13 species
GAUAUGGUGUUCCUGGGGGAGCCCGGGACCACCAGGUUGUCUAAGGAGGGGUGAACCGGCCCAGGUCGGAAACGAAGCAGGUCAAAUCCCCCGUGCUGUCCAGUAGUGGGAUAAUACCUGUGAGUAGAUGCUGCAGUGCAGCCUUGGCAAAACAUCGAGACCUAAUCUUUU